UACGUAGGGUGCAAGCGUUGUCCGGAAUUAUUGGGCGUAAAGAGCUCGUAGGUGGCGGGUCACGUCGGGUGUGAAAGCCCGGGGCUUAACCCCGGGUCUGCAUUCGAUACGGGUCUGCUGGGGUCCGGCAGGGGAGACUGGAAUUCCUGGUGUAGCGGUGGAAAUGACGCAGAUAUCAGGAGGAACACCGGUGGCGAAGGCGGGUCUCUGGGCCUUACCUGACGCCUGGAGGAGCGAAAGCGUGGGGAGCGAACAGG
rnacentral:rRNA from 1 species